CUCAGCCGUCACCGUUUCUCCCACGGAAGACUAGGCCAAGGACCUCGAUCCGUGGCGAGCAUCGAGGUGCUGUCAUCGUUGUUCGGUGCGGAAGGGGUGUGGUCUGCAGUUCUGUACAGGACCAUCCACCACUCUGUUGAUGUUGCCCUCUCCUCGCAUGGCCGCCGACCAAGGUGAGGUCCAUCUCCUGAACAUUCCUCCAUCAGGUCUGCGCAGCUACUCGAGGAUGCAUCCCCGCAGUUGCCGUCGGCGUCAAGCUUGGAGGGAGCCAUCCCUCUUGGCCCUCAUCUGCCUCACCCUCGCGGUCCUCUGGUCCUGCUCACUGGCCCCACGUCUUCCCUUGAGACGAGAUGAACCGCGCCUGCCUAGGGUUUUUGCCACCAUUGGAGAGAGGCGGGGAACAGGACCAGAGCGAGAUGGCCGAUAGGCUACUUGGGAAACUCCUCGUCAUGGGCGGCAGGGUCAUGGUACAGCCGUACAGGCCUAUGCCAAGCCAUCGUCAGUAUGAAGAAGUAACUCUACCAGAGAACAUCAUGGAUAUGGAGAUGGAGCACCCAUGCUUUUCAUAGAUACAAAUACUGAUACUGUCAGGUUCCGGGGAAGGUAAUCAUUGUCAGUGUGCAAUCUGGAAGUUCAAACUGUGAUUAAAUACAUAGUAAGGGCUGCUACGUCAUAGUUACUAUGACUGACCACAUGUAUUGUCUUUCCUGUCUCCUAGCUUCUGUCUGAACUGCUUGCACUCAUCUUGACAAGGAUUUGGAUGGACGGUAUGUCAAUGUCAACCUAGAUGAUGAUAACUUCUUCUGCACCGAGCAUCGUCAUCAAGCUCCAAGAUCCAUAUAGCAGACAUGUUAGAAGAAAUAAGAUCGACCUUCUGCAGAAAAGAAAAUGAAUUGUGCUAAGUUGCAAUGAUGUUGAUGGGAGAAAUUAUUCAUGACAAGUAUCUCAAAUAUCCCAAAUGUUAGUGUAAUUACAAGUUUUUCUUAGACUGUUGUGUUACAUGUCUUUAAUGUGAUAUGUUGAGAUAUCGCAAUUGUGGGUUGCCAUAUUUUCACGUGGAAGUUUAUCUGGCGAAGCUCUGUGCUUCAUGUAUGCGAGCUUUCCACCAGUAUUAGUUGUAUGUAUAUUCAAGUGUUGCACCAAGUAUUAUGCUCUAUUGCAUUUACCCAACUGACAAGAACUUUAUGUUGGGUAUUGUCAAUGCAAUGCUCUGUCCUGAUCAAUCAACUUGAAUCAAUACCUGGUGCAAACAAAAUUAUUUCUGUGUAUUUUAAUUCUCUCGUAUGUUUGUAAUAUUAGUGGAGACGUGCAUUUGCACGUGCAAGCUUACUAGUAUCAGUAGUAGCAGCAAUGAUGUAUGAAGUGGAUAAGCAUGGGAGAGUGCAAUUUUUUGAACUGAAACUGUAAGGAGAAGUGUAAAUUUCUGACUGGUUCAGCUCUGAUGAAAGGGGUGGUAGAUGACGGAGGUAGCAGUGAGAUUUUGGAGUAGAGAAAAACAAAGAAGAUGGCAAGGAUUCAUGAAGAAAAGUUAAACUAUGGUGCACAUAUAUUAGUUAAGGGGAAAUGCUCCAGGUUCUUCUAAGAAUCAAGGUACAACUUGCACCUCAACAAAUACCACAGUUUGCCACAUUUUAUCAUCGGCUGGAACAAAACGCAAAAUUUUGCAUGCAAGUCCUGGUGAGCCUCGGCUGUUCGCGGUCCAGUUUCGCCUAGCUCAAUCCAAGGGCAAGCACCCGCGCGAGAGAGAGAAGUUCUAGAUGUGCACACACGCCUUGAUGCAGAAGAAACAUCGUGGCAGACGCAAAACAGAGUAUGCAUGCAUAAUCA